rnacentral:lncRNA from 1 species
UCCUGUGUCCAUGAGCUACGUCGAUUCCACCAUCACAGUUUUUGCCAAAAUUGCAAAUAUAAAUGUCUCUAUAUCUUGGGAAUUAAUCAUCAGAUUGGAAUAUAGAGGGAAGACAAGCUAUCACGGUCAUGAACAAGAGGAAGAUUGUAUACGUCGUACCGAGAUUCGACGAUUCAGGCGAUAUAACAGUAUGGACUCGCCAGGUUAAACUGGCAAAGGGAUUGCUGGAACUGGAUGAAAUGGUGAGAGCGAUACCAAUGUUCUUGGAUGGAAGGGCUUUCAGCUUAUAUGACGAGUUCACGGAGGAAGAGAAGAAACAAGAGGGGAAAAUCAUACAGGCGUUAAGGAAGGCAUUCUCGAUGAUUCCGUUUACCGCUUACAAAACACUCAAGGCUAAGAAAUGGAAACCGGGGGAGUCUGUUGAGGUUUGUUUGGCCGAAAUCAAAACCCUCAUUUGACUGAUGGGACCCUCAGAUUCGUUAGGCCUAAUUCAUCUCGCAUUCAUAUCAGCAAUGCCCCAGGAUGUGAGCUCGCGUAUGACAACAACGCCGGGAGUAAAUGAAAUGAGUGAGAUCGACCUUGGAACUAUGGCACGGGUUCUGACGAGUGAAAUAAAAUCCUCCAUCCUAGAUGAAUCGCCACCGGAGAUAGGGUUAGCUGUAAGAAUGCAGAAAUUGACCUGCUAUGGAUGUGGUGGACCUCAUCUUAAACGGGAAUGCAAGGAAAGGGCACCUGACAUAGAAUUGUAGAAUAAAAUUAAAAUACGUUUGGGAUAGAUCGACACCGUCUUUUCCAGACAAUUAUCAGGGCGAGUGCUUAGGAUGGAGAUCACAUCACAUCGAAGAGGAAGUUACUGGCGGUGGAUGGAUCCAUUGUGAACUGCAAUGGAUCGGAAGCAGUUGUUAGAAUUGAGGUCAGAUACCAGUUACACGUGUAGAAGUGUAUUAUAAGCGAAAAGUGGGUUAAAGGAGUGGAAGUGAUUAUUGUUAACGAUAUUCUGGGAAGGUACUCGGUUAUUAUGGACAAGGGAAGAGUAGUACUCGGAGCGUGUGCGUCAGUUCAGAGGGAAAACAGGUCAGAGAAAAAAAAAAGGAAAGGGAAGGAGAUACCUGUUUUGGACUUCAGGGAGUUGAACGACUAUGUUUAAUGCAUUGGUGCAGACGCGGAUUAUGUGGGGGAAAAACUACGGGAGUGGAGGCAGUUCUCAGAUAAUAGCGCUCUUCUGGAUUUGCACGAUGCCUAUAUGCAAAUUAAGGCUGACAAGGAAUCCUCAAAAGUAAUGAAGAGGAAUUACAGAGUAGAAUGGUAUAAAAUGUCUCGUCUUGGAUUCGAUUUGAAUUGUGCUCCACAAAUUAUGAAAUCUGUUCUAGCAUAUGUCUUGUCAAGGGAAAAGGAAGUGGUGGAAGCAACUGAUCUCUUCCCCGACGAUAUAUUCAUCAACUUGGACAAGAUUGAAGCUGAGAAAGUGAGAAAUAUCCUCCAGAAGUAUGGCCUCGGGACAAAACCCCUGGAGAAAAUGGAUGAGACGUGUGUAUUGAGACUUGAGGUGUAUAAGAAUUAAUAUGGUAGAUUGAGUUGGAGGAGAUACGGUGAAGUGAAUACAGAGGUGAGAUAGGAUAUAAAAAGAAGGCAGGUGUUCUCGAUCUGCGGGAAGCUGGGGUGGCCCAGCACAUGGCGCUUGGAACGUGAGAGUCACUGACAGGUAUGAAGUUUGGUGUGACGCUAGUUCAAUUGCUCUUGGUGUGGUAAUCGUAAGGAAAUGCUUGUCAAAAGGAGAUUAGUAUAGACACCAAAAUGCAUUUCGCGAGAUAAUCGAUGGACGAAGUACCGAAAAAGUUGGUUGAGAAGACAAUAAGAGAAUGCAACAUAUGUAAUUCUAUUUUCAAAACAUCAUUAAACAACUUGUGGUGGAGGCUCGUUGUCAGUGGAAUUAGAUUUGCAUAGAUUGGCUAUUGACGUCACCCAUGUUGUGAAGGAACAAGAUUCAAAGCAUUAAACAAUACAUUUUUUGAGGGGUACUUCAUGGUCCAGAUGUUUUCGUCAAGAACAACUCCUCCUUAUUACUUCCGCCAACGAAGUUGAAUGUUUUUGCCUCUGUUUGUUAAUACAUGGGUUGAACAGUAUCGGGAUUCACACAUAGAUGACACUAAUUUUCAAUUCACCACAUUUUUAACUUGUACCAACCUUCAAAAGACAGCUGUCAAAAUUUUAUGAUAAUGUAUUCUUUAGUUUGUGAGUUAUUUUGC